CAGAAAAUGUCUUCAAAAUUUAAAAAUACGAAACGCAUCGAGGGACUUGAUAGCAAUGUAUGGACUGAAUUUACCAAGUUGGCUGCAGAUCCCUCUGUGGUAAAUCUUGGCCAGGGCCUUCCAGAUAUCUCUCCUCCAACAUACGUAAAAGAAGCGUUAUCAAAGAUUGCAUUUGUUGAUAACCUGAAUCAGUACACGCGGGGCUUUGGACAUCCGUCACUUGUGAAAGCCCUGUCCUGCCUUUAUGAAAAAUUUUUUCCCAAUCAAAUCGACCCAAAUAAAGAAAUCCUUGUGACAGUAGGAGCAUAUGGAUCUCUCUUUAAUGCCAUUCAAGGGCUAGUUGAUGAAGGAGAUGAGG